UUCUGAAAGUAAGUUUCGUCAUUUAUUUUUACACGAAAACUUUAUUGCCAAAAAAAUAUAUACACUAUGCCAUCAUGAACUAUACACCUUUCACUACUUUUACGCAUAGUCGCCACCGACAUUGAGACAUUUGUCGUAGUGUGCAAUCAGUUUGAAGAAACCACUCUGGUAAAACUCGGUGGCCCUGCGACGCAAGGAAUUGUCGCAUAGCCUGCUCCACCUCAGCAUUGUUUUAGAAGUUACGUCCCCAGAGUGUGGCUUCCAAUGCAGGGCGCAGGGGUGGUAUC
rnacentral:lncRNA from 1 species